GCAGGUGUGGCGGAACGGUAGACGCGCCGGUCUUAGGAACCGGUAUCUUCGAUGUGCAGGUUCAAGUCCUGUCACCUGCACCA
rnacentral:tRNA from 1 species